UACGUAGGGUGCGAGCGUUGUCCGGAAUUAUUGGGCGUAAAGAGCUCGUAGGCGGUGUGUCGCGUCGGCCGUGAAAACCUGGGGCUCAACUCUGGGCGUGCGGUCGAUACGGGCAUCACUUGAGUUCGGCAGGGGAGACUGGAAUUCCUGGUGUAGCGGUGAAAUGCGCAGAUAUCAGGAGGAACACCGGUGGCGAAGGCGGGUCUCUGGGCCG
rnacentral:rRNA from 1 species